ensembl:lncRNA
GACCAUCUGUGAGGGAGAAGUACGCGGGGCUUUCGUGGCUCGUCUGGUCGAGUUGUCCAAUGAAAAAAAAAAGGCAUCAGGAAAAGAUAUAGAGAGCUCUGACCAAGACGGUUAUUUCCGUUGGAUUUAGGGACCACUCUGAUUUUCAUUAACAAUUGACCAGAAAGACCAGUUUUUCUGGAUAGCUUAUUUUGGUGUUUUUGGUUUUUGGAGAUCUUUAAUAAGAUAUUACACAGCUGGACAUUGCAUAACAGGGUGGGGAGAACAGAAGGAUUUUGUUGGAUCUGAAGACUGUAGUGGAGGAGGUACAGCUAGAGGUGAAGAGAGAGGAGUCGAAGAGGAGCGAGCUACAGCUGCAGUACACUAAGGACAGAUGUGCCUGGGAACUGGAGAGAGCUGAGCUGAAAUGCAGAAUCGCACAGUUGGAGGCUAGAGGAGGUCCUGUCGUUGAGCUGGGGCUGAGAACUCAGAGUCCAGAGCCCAGGGAGAGUCCUCUACAGCGGGGGACAGAGAGCAGCAGAGGAGGCUGCUGGUCGACACCCACACGGCCGCCAUGGACCUGCGCUGUCGGCUGGAGCUCAGCGAGAAGGGCUGGGUCCGAUCUGAACUGAUGGAGAGAUUCAACUCUGAGAGGAAGGAGGGGAGAGCCAGCUGGGAGACAUGCAGAGGAAAAUAGAGGAGAUGUACAAGGAGGUGAAGGUGAGGCAUGAGGUAUCUGGGGAGAUGAGAGAACCUGUAGGAGAGAUUACAGAGGAGGUCACCCUGAAUGUCAGUGUACAUACCACCAGCACAGGAUCCAGCAUGCUUAGCGACAACUCGACUUCCGACCCCCAGAACAGCAGCAGCAGCCAAUCAGAGCCCACCAACCAACGCGGCUCCUACCCCCGUCGUCACCGCAACGACGACUUCGCCGCCCACAGAAACCGGGCGGAUCACCGUGGCGACAGAGGAAACCCCCGUAACUAUGACGACUGUGUCGGUAACCAGGAAGUGGACAUGGCGGAACUGGAGGCCAUCCUGCGAGGGGUUGACAGAGACUCUCCCUCUAAAGGGGGUAUGGUUAAUGUCCGUCGCUCCUCCCACGGUGGAUCUAGUGUAGGAGUGACCCACAACACAGAGAUGAGCUCCGGGACAUGGAGUGACAAGAUGGAGAAUACUACAGCCCUCAAUGUCGCCCUGAAGGAGAUAGCCCGUGUGAGUGAAGAGCUGUGUAGCUACCAGGAUGAGAUCAGCAGGAAGUCCGGAGGGGACAAGAGGGGUCGAACCGAGUCCUCGUAUUUCCCGAGGUGGAUCAUGUUACGACCAGAGAGAGAAUGGAGGACCCUGCCUUCAACCUGACGC